rnacentral:rRNA from 1 species
AGUUUGAUCAUGACUCAGGAUGAACGCUAGCUACAGGCUUAACACAUGCAAGUCGAGGGGAAACGACAUCGAAAGCUUGCUUUUGAUGGGCGUCGACCGGCGCACGGGUGAGUAACGCGUAUCCAACCUGCCCACCACUUGGGGAUAACCUUGCGAAAGUAAGACUAAUACCCAAUGAUAUCUCUAGAAGACAUCUGAAAGAGAUUAAAGAUUUAUCGGUGAUGGAUGGGGAUGCGUCUGAUUAGCUUGUUGGCGGGGUAACGGCCCACCAAGGCGACGAUCAGUAGGGGUUCUGAGAGGAAGGUCCCCCACAUUGGAACUGAGACACGGUCCAAACUCCUACGGGAGGCAGCAGUGAGGAAUAUUGGUCAAUGGGCGAGAGCCUGAACCAGCCAAGUAGCGUGCAGGAUGACGGCCCUAUGGGUUGUAAACUGCUUUUAUAAGGGAAUAAAGUGAGUCUCGUGAGACUUUUUGCAUGUACCUUAUGAAUAAGGACCGGCUAAUUCCGUGCCAGCAGCCGCGGUAAUACGGAAGGUCCGGGCGUUAUCCGGAUUUAUUGGGUUUAAAGGGAGCGUAGGCCGGAGAUUAAGCGUGUUGUGAAAUGUAGACGCUCAACGUCUGCACUGCAGCGCGAACUGGUUUCCUUGAGUACGCACAAAGUGGGCGGAAUUCGUGGUGUAGCGGUGAAAUGCUUAGAUAUCACGAAGAACUCCGAUUGCGAAGGCAGCUCACUGGAGCGCAACUGACGCUGAAGCUCGAAAGUGCGGGUAUCGAACAGGAUUAGAUACCCUGGUAGUCCGCACGGUAAACGAUGGAUGCCCGCUGUUGGUCUGAAUAGGUCAGCGGCCAAGCGAAAGCAUUAAGCAUCCCACCUGGGGAGUACGCCGGCAACGGUGAAACUCAAAGGAAUUGACGGAAGGACAUAUUG